rnacentral:tRNA from 1 species
ACUUGUUUAGCUCAGUUGGUAAAAUACAAGGCUUUUAAACUUGUGGUCGCGGGUUUGAGCCCCGCGGUGGGUG